rnacentral:lncRNA from 10 species
GCUAGACCAAUUUAAGGUGUCCUGUAACCAUAAAAUACAUGCCACAUUUUGCAGUCUUAGUAUGAAAAAAAAUGAUGUCUUCUGAGGUUGGUGAUAAUUACAGUCAAUGAGGUCCAUACCAGAGGGGUUAAGAGGAGACGUGAUAAACUUGGGUAACCUUGCUACUGUUUGGGACAUAGAAGCAGAGCGAAAGGAUCUUGAGCCCAUCUUGAGCCCCGUUACCCUUCCUCUCCUGCUGGCCUCUGGGGCUGGAAAGAAGACCCAGAGCCAGGUAGAGGGCUCACAGACUCACGGGCAAGUGCCUUGGGAAGGGGAUGCAUAAUCGAGAUGCCAUCUGUGGCAUUGAGCUGAUGACAGCUGCAUGAUGCCCUGGCUCUCCUGUGUCAACACCCUCCCCAGGCAGGAAACGACAGCGGUAGGCGCAUGUGUGCUGAGCCUUCGGGAGAGCACACACAGGCAUCCUAAAGGAGUGGGCAUGGAGAGCUGGAGUUUAUUAAGUAGGGGUUGGUUGCCUGUGAGAUUAACACCCUGAAAUAAAUGCAAAGUUGAGAAAUAUUUUGGCUUCCAGCCAACUUGGCAGGAAGAUUUAGGAACCUGGAAUGGUCAGAAGGACAAAGCCUUAAAGGACCCAUGUUAAGUUUAGUUUCUGGCCAGCUGUGAUCUCUAAAUUUCCCCACCAUUUACAUCACUCCUUUGUGUUACAGCAUCAUGUGUUCAGAAGGCCC